rnacentral:rRNA from 1 species
GAUGAACGCUGGCGGCGUGCUUAACACAUGCAAGUCGAACGAAGCUGCCUGGAGGAAGUUUUCGGAUGGAAUUUAGGUAGACUUAGUGGCGGACGGGUGAGUAACGCGUGGAUAACCUGCCUUAUACAGGGGGAUAACGGAGAGAAAUUUCCGCUAACACCGCAUAAGACCACAGCACCGCAUGGUGCAGGGGUAAAAUAUUUAUAGGUAUAAGAUGGAUCCGCGUCCGAUUAGCUAGUUGGUGAGGUAAAGGCCCACCAAGGCGACGAUCGGUAGCCGGCCUGAGAGGGUGAACGGCCACAUUGGGACUGAGACACGGCCCAAACUCCUACGGGAGGCAGCAGUGGGGAAUAUUGGACAAUGGGGGAAACCCUGAUCCAGCGACGCCUCGUGAGUGAAGAAGUAUUUCGGUAUGUAAAGCUCUAUCAGCAGGGAAGAAAAUGACGGUACCUGACUAAGAAGCCCCGGCCACUACGUGCCAUCAGCCGCGGUAAUACGUUGGGGGCAUGCCUU